GGAAGUGUGGUUCAAGUGAUAGAACACUAGCUGAAAAAGCAUGAAAUCCUGAGUUCAAGCCCCAGUACUACCA
rnacentral:tRNA from 1 species